rnacentral:rRNA from 1 species
AACCUGGUUGAUCUUGCCAGUAGUCAUAUGCUUGUCUUAAAGAUUAAGCCAUGCAAGUGAAAGUACACAUGUAUAAUAAUAUAUCGAAACUGCGAACGGCUCAUUAAAACAGUUAUAAUCUACUUGACAUUUAUAUUAUAAGGAUAACUACGGAAAAUCUGUAGCUAAUACUUGUAAAAAUAUCUUAUGAUAUGUAUAUAUAUAUAUAUAUAUAUAUAUAUAUGUAUGUAUCAUUAAGAUAUGUAUUUGUUAGAUGUAAGAAGUAAAUAAAUAUAAAUUGAAUUAUAACAAAGAAAGAACACGUAUACGUACGUGAUUAUCAAUCGAGUAUCUGACCUAUCAGCUUUUGAUGUUAGGGUAUUGACCUAACAUGGCUAUGACGGGUAACGGGGAAUUAGAGUUCGAUUCCGGAGAGGGAGCCUGAGAAAUAGCUACCACAUCUAAGGAAGGCAGCAGGCGCGUAAAUUACCCAAUUCUGAAGAAGAGAGGUAGUGACAAGAAAUAACAAUACAUUAUCGAAGAAUGAUUUUGUAAUUGGAAUGAUAGGGAAUUAUAACAUUUCUAGAGAAACAAUUGGAGGGCAAGUCUGGUGCCAGCAGCCGCGGUAAUUCCAGCUCCAAUAGCAUAUAUUAAAAUUGUUGCAGUUAAAACGUUCGUAGUUGAAUAUUAAAGAAUCCGAUGUUUCAUUUAAACUGGUUUUGGGAAACUACAUAUAUAUAUAUAUUUAUAUAUAUUGUUUAAUAAGUUUCCCGUAUAAAAUUAUGUUUUUAUCAGAUAUGACAGAGUCUUUUUUAAAAUCUGUUCAUUUUGCUUUUAUUGCUUUUUGAAAGAUUUUUGUUUACUUUGAGUAAAAUUAAGUGUUCACAACAGACGGCUAUACUUUGAUUGAGGUGUUCAGGGUGUUUGAAUACUA